GAUUAACGCUGGCGGCGUGCUUAACACAUGCAAGUCGAACGAAGUGGCGGACGGGAGAGUAACGCGCGAGUAACCUGCCUUAGAGAAGGGGAUAGCCUUUGGAAACGCAGAAUAAUACUCUAUGCUCUAAGAUGGACUUGCGUCUGAUUAGUUAGUUGGUGGGGUAACGGCCCACCAAGACAGCGAUCAGAAGCCGGCUUGUGGAAAUGUACGACCACAUUGGGACUGGGACACGGCCCAGACUCUACGGAAGGCAGCAGUGUGGAAUUUUGCACAAUGGGGGAAACCCUGAUGCAGCGACGCCGCGUGAUUUGGAAGGCCUUCGGGUUGUAAAAAUCUUUUCUAUGGGAAGCGGUACCAUAGGAAUAAGGACCGGCUAAUUACGUGCCAGCAGCCGCGGUAAUUC
rnacentral:rRNA from 1 species